rnacentral:rRNA from 1 species
UUUUAUUUGAGAGUUUGAUCCUGGCUCAGGAUGAACGCUGGCGGCGUGCCUAACACAUGCAAGUUGAGCGAUUUACUUCGGUAAAGAGCGGCGGACGGGGGAGUAACGCGUGGGUAACCUACCCUGUACACACGGAUAACAUACCGAAAGGUAUGCUAAUACGGGAUAAUAUAUUUGAGAGGCAUCUCUUAAAUAUCAAAGGUGAGCCAGUACAGGAUGGACCCGCGUCUGAUUAGCUAGUUGGUAAGGUAACGGCUUACCAAGGCGACGAUCAGUAGCCG